UGGGGAAUAUUGCACAAUGGGCGCAAGCCUGAUGCAGCCAUGCCGCGUGUAUGAAGAAGGCCUUCGGGUUGUAAAGUACUUUCAGCGGGGAUGAAGGGAGUAAAGUUAAUACCUUUGCUCAUUGACGUUACCCGCAGAAGAAGCACCGGCUAACUCCGUGCCAGCAGCCGCGGUAAUACGGAGGGUGCAAGGGUUAAUCGGAAUUACUGGGCGUAAAGCGCACGCAGGCGGUUUGUUAAGUCAGAUGUGAAAUCCCCGGGCUCAACCUGGGAACUGCAUCUGAUACUGGCAAGCUUGAGUCUCGUAGAGGGGGGUAGAAUUCCAGGUGUAGCGGUGAAAUGCGUAGAGAUCUGGAGGAAUACCGGUGGCGAAGGCGGCCCCCUGGACGAAGACUGACGCUCAGGUGCGAAAGCGUGGGGAGCAAACA
rnacentral:rRNA from 1 species